rnacentral:rRNA from 1 species
GGACCUCCGGGAGGCAGCAGUAGGGAAUCUUCGGCAAUGGGCGAAAGCCUGACCGAGCCCCUCCCCUUUCCUGAAGAAGGCCUUCGGGUUGUAAAAUUCUGUUAUAAGGGAAGAAAGGUGAUAGGAGGAAAUGACUAUCGAUUGACGGUACCUUAUGAGAAAGCCACGGCUAACUACGUGCCAGCAGCCGCGGUAAUACGUAGGGGGCAAGCGUUAUCCGGAAUUAUUGGGCGUAAAGAGCGCGCAGGUGGUUAAUUAAGUCUGAUGUGAAAGCCCACGGCUUAACCGUGGAGGGUCAUUGGAAA